rnacentral:lncRNA from 1 species
UACAGUUGCUGUUACUUUGAUCUGUCUUGGGAGGUGCCUCAGAACACCACUGCUCUCUUUCAGGGAGCCACUCAGGGAAAUGGGGUGAGAAGGGAGCUCUCAGAAACUUGGAAAACUUAACUUCUGUGGGAUCCCUCAGAAGGCAUGUGGCUGCAUCCCACCAGGCUGAAGGUAGGGGGCGCCAGGGGGCUGGGUCCUGUAAGGUUGGAGCUGGGGGCUGGGAUUCACCAAAGAGAAACAAAAGAAACUGGAAGCCGUUAUCACGGGCCGGGCUGUCCUCGGGGAACAUUCUGGGAAGAAAGGAGAAAGCCCCGCUGGCUGGGAGCAGCCAUGCGGGGGGGAUCUGAAGUGACAGUGGGGAAGGAGCGAUGUUUUGGCCUCAAGGGGACAUUUGGCAACGUCUGUUCAUAUUUUUGGUUGUCACAGUCAGGGGAGAGAUUGCUAUAAGCGUCUAAUGGAUGCUGCUAAACGUAACAGUGCACAGGAGAGCUGCCCGCAGUGAAGAGUUAUCAGGCCCACGUCAACUGUGAUGAGACUGAGAAACAGCAGUCUAGACCACAGGCCAAGUGUUUCUCACUUGGUGUAGACAAAGGGCCUCGCCUGCCUUGUUCACCACUGCAUCUCAGCACCUGGCCCAGUGCCUGAUACACCGUAAGCCUCAAUCCAGAAAAACAACGGGAUUGACCCAUGAUGGCCAAUCAGUACUGGUGUCCAGAGCAGCCCUGGGCUGGGAAGAGGAGUCGCUGCUGUGCCAACAUUACCCCUUUGGUUGCUGGACUGUGGGGAAAUCUGGGAGUCUUAAGAGAGGGGCCAGAGCAGCCCCAGAGGUGGGGGACUCAAGGAAUUCCAGAAAGGAAUAGGAAAAGUAUUUUAAAAGGAAAGUAUAGGAAAUGAAAGUAUAUAAAAACUAUAAUGACCUGCAUGGCCCUAUCAAUAAAUGCCUGCUAAAAGGCAGGGUGAUGGGUGGACAAAAGGCCAGGAACACCGGCGAAGUUAGUGAGCUGAAGAAGGAAACAGACUAGAAGAACUAUUUACAGCGUCUGCAUAGUCAUACAGUCCUGCAGCCUCACACUUACUCAGACUCGCCUAGUGAGAGGAGGCAUGGGGAGCGGCUAACGCAUGAGCAGACAUGAAGGUGGGAUUAAGGAGAGUGUUAGCCUUUUUUUUUUUUUCUGUUGUUUUUCUCUUAAACCAUUAAAAGAGUUAUAUCUGUUUCAGAGAAACUGCAACCUUUUGUCCUCAAAUAGUUUAGUAAAA